rnacentral:rRNA from 1 species
AGAGUUUGAUCAUGGCUCAGGAUGAACGCUAGCGGCAGGCUUAACACAUGCAAGUCGAGGGGUAUAAGUCUUCGGAUUUAGAGACCGGCGCACGGGUGCGUAACGCGUAUGCAAUCUACCUUUCACAGAGGGAUAGCCCAGAGAAAUUUGGAUUAAUACCUCAUAGUAUAGCUGAACCGCAUGGUUCUACUAUUAAAGUCACAACGGUGAAAGAUGAGCAUGCGUCCCAUUAGCUUGUUGGUAAGGUAACGGCUUACCAAGGCUACGAUGGGUAGGGGUCCUGAGAGGGAGAUCCCCCACACUGGUACUGAGACACGGACCAGACUCCUACGGGAGGCAGCAGUGAGGAAUAUUGGUCAAUGGACGCAAGUCUGAACCAGCCAUGCCGCGUGCAGGAUGACGGUCCUAUGGAUUGUAAACUGCUUUUGCACAGGAAGAAACAACUCUACGUGUAGAGUCUUGACGGUACUGUGAGAAUAAGGAUCGGCUAACUCCGUGCCAGCAGCCGCGGUAAUACGGAGGAUCCAAGCGUUAUCCGGAAUCAUUGGGUUUAAAGGGUCCGUAGGCGGUUUAGUAAGUCAGUGGUGAAAGCCCAUCGCUCAACGGUGGAACGGCCAUUGAUACUGCUAGACUUGAAUUAUUAGGAAGUAACUAGAAUAUGUAGUGUAGCGGUGAAAUGCUUAGAGAUUACAUGGAAUACCAAUUGCGAAGGCAGGUUACUACUAAUGGAUUGACGCUGAUGGACGAAAGCGUGGGUAGCGAACAGGAUUAGAUACCCUGGUAGUCCACGCCGUAAACGAUGGAUACUAGCUGUUGGAAGCAAUUUCAGUGGCUAAGCGAAAGUGAUAAGUAUCCCACCUGGGGAGUACGUUCGCAAGAAUGAAACUCAAAGGAAUUGACGGGGGCCCGCACAAGCGGUGGAGCAUGUGGUUUAAUUAGAUGAUACGCGAGGAACCUUACCAAGGCUUAAAUGUAGAUUGACCGGUUUGGAAACAGACUUUUCGCAAGACAAUUUACAAGGUGCUGCAUGGUUGUCGUCAGCUCGUGCCGUGAGGUGUCAGGUUAAGUCCUAUAACGAGCGCAACCCCUGUUGUUAGUUGCCAGCGAGUCAUGUCGGGAACUCUAACAAGACUGCCAGUGUAAACUGUGAGGAAGGUGGGGAUGACGUCAAAUCAUCACGGCCCUUACGCCUUGGGCUACACACAUGCUACAAUGGCCGGUACAGAGAGCAGCCACUGGGCGACCAGGAGCGAAUCUACAAAACCGGUCACAGUUCGGAUCGGAGUCUGCAACUCGACUCCGUGAAGCUGGAAUCGCUAGUAAUCGGAUAUCAGCCAUGAUCCGGUGAAUACGUUCCCGGGCCUUGUACACACCGCCCGUCAAGCCAUGGAAGCUGGGGGUGCCUGAAGUCGGUGACCGCAAGGAGCUGCCUAGGGUAAAACUGGUAACUAGGGCUAAGUCGUAACAAGGUA